CAGAGAUGUAAAUCAAAAGAAUUCGAGUUCUGAAUGGCUUUGAAUCCUAUCAUUAGCUCCAUAAGGGCGAUACAUCUUUUUAGGGAGGUGCAUCCAUUUGCCUCACGGCGCGGUUAGCUGUCUUCUACUGUGUUAUGUUCUGAGAAUCAACUUCCUGAUAUUAUCUGCCAGAAGAAUGUUUGUCACAUCAGCUGAAGACAACUGUUUCUAUUUUGCCCGUGUAUGCUGCAAGAACAAGGGAAUGCCCACUCAUGUGCUGUUGAAACACGCUGUGUCGUCCCAUAUAGAUUGGCCAUGACGUCAAGAGAUGCUGCUCUAGUGUCCAAUGUGAGUGUUUGUAGUAGUCCUGGCAUGCAGCAGACUGUUAAUCCAUUUACUCCACAAGGGAGCCUAGAGUGUAUUCCUGAUGUACAGACCCUUGUGAUCAGCCUCAACGGUCUGAUUUUAUAUACCUGUGCUAGCAUGUUUGGUUCAGCACGUCAAGCCAUUCCACAUCCACCAUAAUAUUUCGGGAUUUUGUAGAUGGGGGAAAAAAAAACAAUAACAGUAUUGUUUUCUAGCGCAUUUUGAAAAGAGCAUCAACACUGUCAGUAUAUCCUUGAGUUUUAACAGCGCUUCUCCUGCAGUUAAUACUAGAUUAUCUAUAAAUAGAGGCAUUAGCUGGAAUCAUGAGAUACAGGCACUCGUAAGCUCCUUAAAUGUCUGUACCUUGCACAGGUAUACCUUUAGCACUGCUCUGUAAGCUGCUAUCAUGCCUGGUCAUCAAGGAGUGACAGUUUGAGAAGCCUAUUUACCUCCUUCCUUCUGUGACCUUCGGCAAGAACAAUCAUGUUAUGGUUUUGACCAAGCAUGCACUGCAUCUGACGAAUGCACCCUGGAGCAAGGCUGAUGAAUCGUUCCCUUGAAAAAACAAACUGUAUUUUACAUUGCUUUCGCUUUGAAACUCAGCACUGUCCUUCAUGCUCAGGCAGAUUUUCCCGUUUAGAUGCACACGUUUGACCAGCACCAACGAGAGGAGCAUUAUCAGUAUUGUCUCAGCACGGUUGACCUGCAACAACAACAUGCAAGGCACUCCACUUGAAAGCCACAGCCACCUGAUCCAAAAACAACCUGUCAAACGGGACUCCUUUGCUGUGCAUUUAAGUAAGGGAAUGUGACCGAUGCAGAACAAAAGCUAUACAGGUUCUGGGGCUGGAAAUACCUGGAAACGUGUUUAGAUCUCAGUAAAAUACACACACCACUAUAGCAGAGCCUAUUUCCUGUGACCCGCAUGCCUUGCGUAUUGAUUCUACGGCUAUCCUUUCCAAACUUUGACUUUUUCAUACCCUAUCCCACUGUCAUUCUUGAUUUAUUCAUUUCUGCAAAAUUUGAUAUGAUCUUAUAAGAAACGUAUGAACAAACAUACCUAUUUCUGGCUUUAAAACAAAUUUCUGAUAUCUUUUGUGACACUUCUAUCUGAAAGACAUCAGCUAUAAUUGAUAAUUUUAAUGGGUUUUUGCAUGAAAUACUAAAUUACUUAAUAGUUUAGUACUUUUGUGAAUUGAAGAUUUAUAUAAAUUCUAUAUAGAAAAUAAGAAAUUGGAGUUUUCUAAAAUGAAUGAGGGAAAUGACAGUAAAUAUAUCUGUCCCUUUUAUUACAGAUCGAUCAUAACAUGAAAGUAAUUUACAAAUGUAUAUUAGCAUAUUCUGUGGUAAACAAUGUUAUUUACUGCCACCUGGUGUUAAUUAAUUGUAUUACUACAAAGGGAAAGAAUUUUCUAAAUCCUGGACUGUCACUGAAUAUUCUGCUGGCAUCUAUGAUGUUGUUUUGUAUUCUGUAUUGUCUGUCAGCCCUCAUAAAUUACUAUUCCAUUCACAAAGUGCUGUUUCAUUUCCUCAGAAAAAUGUGAAAAUGAGAAGGGUUUUAAAAUGUGUAAACAUAAAUCACAGGCAUUUGUUGAAUCCCCAUAGAAUAAUGUAAUUUCCAAUUUUUGCUGAGUGUUUCAUUGGAGUUUGAUGAUUAACAUUCUCCCAUCUGUUUGUAAUUUGUCCUGAAAAUAUUGAGAUUAGCAGUGUUUAUAUUCAUGUACUUGUACAUUUUAUCUUUCCCAAGGGAGGAUAUACCAUAAUUUGCAGGUUUUAAAAAAGAAGAGAAGGAUUCAUAUUAAGAAAAUUUACUCCUUGUUUGUUGUGUGUGAAUUUCCUUUAUGUGAAGCAUCUACAAGAACACAGUUUGUAACAGAGAUGCGUGAGAAACAGUUGGCCAGUGCCCUGUGCAUUUUAAUCAGACAGGAAGUAGGAAAUGAUGUCACUUGGUAACAAACAGGAUGCUGUGAUUAUAAUACAAUGAAAUGCUUGGCUGUAUGAUUGAAACCCAAAGGCCAGAGAAUGGGCCAGAAUGCAGAUGACCCACUGCUGUGGUAGCAGUGCAGGUUGCAACUCAAAGGUUUUUACCAGAUGACUGAUUGUAACAUAACAGUGUUUUAGCCUGGUGCUGGAUGAAACACAAAAU